GCUUAGAGUUUGAUCCUGGCUCAGGAUGAACGCUGGCGGCGUGCUUAACACAUGCAAGUCGAACGGUCUCUUCGGAGAUAGUGGCGGACGGGUGAGUAACGCGUGAGAAUCUGCCUUUAGGUUCGGGACAACAGUUGGAAACGACUGCUAAUACCGAAUGUGUCGCAAGAUGAAAGAUUUAUUGCCUAAAGAUGAGCUCGCGUCUGAUUAGCUAGUUGGUGGGGUAAAAGCGUACCAAGGCGACGAUCAGUAGCUGGUCUGAGAGGAUGAUCAGCCACACUGGGACUGAGACACGGCCCAGACUCCUACGGGAGGCAGCAGUGGGGAAUUUUCCGCAAUGGGCGAAAGCCUGACGGAGCAACGCCGCGUGAGGGAGGAAGGCUUUUGGGUUGUAAACCUCUUUUAUCAAGGAAGAUAAUGACGGUACUUGAUGAAUCAGCAUCGGCUAACUCCGUGCCAGCAGCCGCGGUAAUACGGAGGAUGCAAGCGUUAUCCGGAAUAAUUGGGCGUAAAGCGUUCGUAGGUGGUUUUGCAAGUCUGCUGUUAAAGCGUGUAGCUUAACUACAUAAUGGCGGUGGAAACUGCAAAACUAGAGUGCGUUCGGGGCAGAGGGAAUUCCUGGUGUAGCGGUGAAAUGCGUAGAUAUCAGGAAGAACACCGGUGGCGAAGGCGCUCUGCUAGGCCGCAACUGACACUGAGGGACGAAAGCUAGGGGAGCGAAU
rnacentral:rRNA from 1 species